rnacentral:rRNA from 1 species
GACGAACGCUGGCGGCGUGCUUAACACAUGCAAGUCGAACGGAAAGGCCCUGCUUUUGUGGGGUGCUCGAGUGGCGAACGGGUGAGUAACACGUGAGUAACCUGCCCUUGACUUUGGGAUAACUUCAGGAAACUGGGGCUAAUACCGGAUAGGAGCUCCUGCUGCAUGGUGGGGGUUGGAAAGUUCGGCGGGUGGGGGUGGACUCGCGGCUUAUCAGCUUGUUGGUGGGGUAGUGGCUUACCAAGGCUUUGACGGGUAGCCGGCCUGAGAGGGUGACCGGCCACAUUGGGACUGAGAUACGGCCCAGACUCCUACGGGAGGCAGCAGUGGGGAAUAUUGCACAAUGGGCGGAAGCCUGAUGCAGCAACGCCGCGUGCGGGAUGACGGCCUUCGGGUUGUAAACCGCUUUCGCCUGUGACGAAGCGUGAGUGACGGUAAUGGGUAAAGAAGCACCGGCUAACUACGUG